GCAAGAUGGCGGCGGCGGCGGCAGCUGGAAGUGGGGGGAGUCCUGCGCUGUCCUCGGGAGGGGAAGAGCCACCAGCGGGCCCCGAGUCGCCGGUGUCAGCGGGGCCGAGCGCGGGAUUCCGGCUGACGGCGGUGCGGAGGGAGCCGGCGGUGCGGCUGCAGCACGGCGUGAGCGGGCUGGAGCCGCUGGCCUGGUCUGAGGACCACCGGGUGUCGGUGAGCACGGCCCGGAGCAUCGCCGUGCUGGAGCAACUCAGCGACAUUCGCAGCGGCGGGCAGGAGCUGGUCAUCCACCGCACGGCCGUGCCCGCGCCCGCCGCGGGCUGCCUGCUCAAGGUUGGUUCAAAAAAGGAGGUUGCAGAAUGUAAGGAAAAGUUUGCAAACUCUAAGGAUCCAACUGUUAGUCAAACCUUUAUGCUAGAUAGAGUAUUCAACCCUGAGGGAAAGUCACUACCACCUAUGCGAGGAUUCAAAUAUUCCAGCUGGUCUCCACUGGGCUGUGAUGCUAAUGGAAGAUGCCUUCUUGCAGCUCUAACUAUGGACAAUAGACUAACCAUCCAUGCUAAUCUCAACAGACUACAGUGGGUGCAGCUAGUUGAUCUGACAGAAAUUUAUGGGGAGCGUCUGUAUGAAACCAGUUACAAACUUUCUAAGGCUGAGACUCACAGAGGAGAACUAGGGGACUUUGCAGAAUUUCAGAGACGACAUAGCAUGCAGACGCCAGUCCGUAUGGAGUGGUCAGGUAUCUGCACCACGCAGCAGGUGAAACACAACAAUGAAUGCCGAGAUGUUGGCAGUGUACUCCUAGCUGUACUCUUUGAAAAUGGAAACAUUGCCGUUUGGCAAUUUCAGCUUCCUUUUGUGGGUAAGGAAUCCAUCACUUCUUGCAAUACCAUAGAAUCAGGAAUAAAUUCCCCUAGCGUCUUGUCUUGGUGGGAAUACGAACACAAUAACCGAAAGAUGAGUGGACUCAUUGUAGGGAGCGCUUUUGGACCGGUUAAAAUCCUUCCUGUCAACUUAAAAGCAGUUAAAGGCUACUUCACACUCAGGCAACCUGUUGUCUUAUGGCAAGAAAUGGACCAAUUGCCAGUACACAGUAUCAAAUGUAUUCCUCUCUACCAUCCUUACCAGAAAUGUAGCUGUAGCUUAGUGGUGGCUGCAAGAGGGUCUUAUGUGUUUUGGUGUCUUCUCUUGAUAUCCAAAGCAGGUUUGAAUGUCCAUAAUUCCCAUGUGACAGGGCUUCACUCUUUACCAAUUGUAUCCAUGACUGCGGAUAAACAGAAUGGCACAGUAUACACAUGUUCAAGUGACGGAAAGGUAAGGCAAUUGAUUCCCAUCUUCACAGAGGUUGCAUUAAAGUUUGAGCAUCAGCUUAUUAAGCUGUCUGAAGUGUUUGGCUCUGUGCGGACUCACGGGAUAGCUGUAAGCCCAUGUGGUGCAUACCUAGCAGUUAUUACAACAGAGGGCAUGACCAAUGGCCUUCACCCUGUAAACAAAAACUAUCAAGUUCAGUUUGUAACUCUCAAAACAUUUGAGGAGGCAGCCGCUCAGCUCUUGGAGUCUUCUGUGCAAAAUCUUUUUAGACAAGUGGACCUGACAGACCUUGUGCGCUGGAAGAUUUUGAAGGAUAAGCAUAUCCCUCAAUUCUUACAAGAAGCCUUGGAUAAAAAGAUUGAGAGCUGUGGAUCCACUUACUUUUGGCGUUUUAAGCUGUUCCUCUUGAGAAUUUUGUACCAGUCAAUGCAGAAAACUCCCUCUGAGGUCAUGUGGAGGCCUUCGCAUGAGGACUCAAAAGUAUUAAUAUCAGAUUCUCCUGGAAUGGGCAGUACUGAGGAUGAUCAUCAAGAAGAGGGAACUUCAAAACAGACCAGCAAGCAGAGUUUGUGUGAAGUGAGCAAAGGAACAGACCCAGAUGACCCAGCAGAUGACACUCUUGCCCACUCAAGUGAUGUCGGAGGACAUGAGCCAAUGGAAGAGAAGCUCCUUGAAAUACAGGCACGAAUAGAAGCAGUAGAAAUGCACUUGACACGGGAACACAUGAAGCGGGUGUUGGGAGAAGUCUACUUGCAUACAUGGAUUACAGAGAACACCAGAAUUCCUACCAGAGGACUCUGUGAUUUCUUAAUGUCUGAUGAAGGCUAUGAUGACAGAACAGCACGAGUGCUGAUUGGACAUAUCUUAAAGAAAAUGAACAAACAGACUUUCCCAGAGCACUGUGGCUUGUGUAAAGAGAUCCUGCCAUUCACAGAUCGCAAACAGGCGGUUUGCUCCAAUGGCCACAUUUGGCUCAGGUGCUUUUUAACCUACCAGUCCUGCCAGAGUUUGGUAUACAGAAGGUGUCUGCUUCAUGACAGCAUUGCACGGCAUCCAACUCCAGAAGAUCCUGAAUGGAUCAAGAGGUUAUUGCAAGGACCUUGUACUUUCUGUGAUUCUCCUGUGUUCUAGAGAAAGCUGUGGGAAGCUUGAAGACAUUUUCUCUACUGCAUAAAACUCCAUUCAGUCUUGAAGGAGGCAGAAGGCUUAGUGGUUGUAAAAUCUACUGGUCCACUGAAGUGUUUCUAGGUCUGGCAGACCAGAAGUGGAGGUGUGGACCCCUUUGGAAAUCUUGGACAGUCUCCAGACCCCCCAGAUGUCCAUGGACUACAGGUUGAAAACUACUGCCUUAAAGCUGGGAAUGGGAAUAACGUACUCAUCCUUUUAACCCUCAAAGUCAGAUUUAGAGAAUAGUCCAUGGAAAACCUUCAAAGCCAGCUACAAACGAUCGACACCACAUGGAGGUAAAAAGGAACAUUAUAAAAGACGGGAUCGCUCUGUCUGUGAAUAAAGACAGAACAGGAGACUGAUUCAGUAUACGAGAGAAUGGAGAAAGACCCUCUACAUCCAUUCACUGAGGAGACAUCUUGUGGAGCAGUUGGAGUUUCUCAUGAAAGGUUGGAUCCUGGUCCCUGCAAGGCCAGCCAGCUCUGCAAGGGAAUGUAAGGGAACAUAAAUUACACUGCCUUACACAUCACCUCGGUAUUAGGUCUAGAACAGAGGUUCCCUAACUUUUCUUUUGCUGUGCCCUUCAACUCCUGCCAGUCUGAGGCAGAAAGUGACUCAUUAAAGGCCCUGGGUGGCUCACACCCCGGGUAGCAACAGGACCCCAGCUGGAGCCCAAAGGCAGUGUGGCUCAGAGCAGAUAAGGGAUCCAGUCCCUCCCUCACCUUGCCAAGAGCCUCUCGCUCCUGCAGGCUCCAGGGAGUUUAAAAUACAUGGGGCUGCAGCUGGCCAGGUGCCCUGGGCAGGGCAGCAACAGGGAGAGCAUGCAGGGAGUUCCCAGCAGUCUGUAAGAGGUAGAGCAGGAGAGGACCAAGCUGCUGCUGUGGUAGGGCAAGGCUGAGUGGGCUGUGUUCCCCCACCCACCCCAGAUACUCCCUGUGUGCUCUCUCCACUACUGCCCUGCCCUGGCAUACCGCAGCUCUGCCCCCUACCUUGCGGCCCUUAAUAACUUUGUUGCGGUCCCUAGUUUGAAAACCAAUGGUCAAGAGCAUUUAAGUGACUUACUUAUGUCUACCCAGUGAGUCGGAGGCACAGCCUGAUUAGAACACAGGAGUUCCUGAUUUCCUGACCAAUGCUCAAAGCACCAGAAUAUGAUGGUUCUUGCUGGGAUUACAGUCUGGUCACAUCAAUCUAGGACCCAUAGUAUGCCGUGUUCGAUGUAACGAACUCAGGCUUGUUUGGGGGUCUAGCAGUUGUACAAUGUAAUACCAUGUGUGGUGGAAUUUGACUUUGACAUUAACUUGAUCUUUCACUCCCCAAGCUGGCUGGAGAUGGGAAAUGCAAUGCUGCAAUUCCUCAGGAUACUCCUCCAACUAUAUGGGUUACCUUUACUGGCUACAUUGGGAUGGAGGUUCUACCUUAUGCCCCAUCUAUAUUACAAAAAUACCCUCUAAACAUGGUUUUGUCCUUGCUUGUGCAGACAGAAAAAAUUAUGUUAAUACCCUGGUAAAUAUCUAGUCUAAUUCUUAAAAGAAGUAAAAUUUGUAACAAUUUGGCCACAACCAUGUUUAAACAUGGUUAUUUUGCAGUGUAAAUGGGAUUUAAGUCUUUGGCACAAGACAUAGGACACCCAGUGGAGUUUGGUAGAGGGAUCUGAACAUGUUCCUACUGGAAAGCCACAAUAUUGGCCAAAAUAUGUCAAUGCAAGAGCAAGGGUGGGGUGAUAGAGGGCUCCUGGGUUAAUGUCUCAUUCCCCUUGCCAAUGAAACUACAAAGCAUUUUCACUAACCAUUACCCAGCCCCAGAGAGAUAUUGAAUUAUUACAGAGAGACAAAUCAAAGUGUCAGACAGCUGAGGGGCUAGAGAAAUGGGGAGCAGCCAAAAACCAGUGAAUUCAGGAGUUUACAUUUGCAACUGAAAAUGCAAGAUCUGUAUUUCAGGAUGGAUUAUUCAAUCAAAAGGACUCUAUUCCAACACUGCAGGGCAAAGGAGAACUGACGUACAGGGGCGUUUCAAAAAAGGCCCUGCAAGAGUAAGAGAGGGUAGAACAAGAUCCUGGCAGAAAAACAACUGGAUAAAUCAUACUUUUUUAAAGCAACCCAGAAAAGUGGAAUGUUGAGCCCAUGAAGCGAAUCAGAUUCAUGUUCUGAUGUGUGCAGGCAGCACUCAGAAUCAGUGUUUGGAGAGGUAGGGCUGAACACUCACUAUUUAGUCCGAUAGAUUUGUGGGCAAACCUGCUAUUAGAAUCUGGAGGUCUCAAAUCAAACCCAUUGACUAGACAUAAGACAGCUCUCCUGUUUUGUAAUAGAUAUGUUUGGGGUCCCUUCUAGUGAUUUCAUUUGCUGCUUUGAUUUAAAUAACUGCGGGGCAGACUUUAAUAUAAGAGCUGACUUUUCUUUUAAGUAUAUAGGGCCAAAUUCUGUGCUGGCUUGCACACCCAUAGCCUCACUGAAGUUAGCAAGGCUCUAUGUCAAAGAAAACUUUACACCAUUUGUUUUAGUCAGAGAUAUUUAAAUACAGGCCAAUGUCAAAGUGGUUACUUUAUCCUCAAUUUCUGGGUCAGUCUAGUGAUGCAAGUUAAGCCCUAGGUUUAAGUCAUUAACUUAGCAGGUGGGCUCUGGAGUAAGGAAUGAUGAUACCAGUUACACAACAGGAAAGUUUGCCAUUAACCCCACCGCCUAGUUGAGUAGAAUGGAAAUUCAAUUGCUUGUUUAGGAAAAAAUGCCUGGUGAGCCUGUUUAUUUGGGAGAAUAAAGGUGGAGCUAAACUCCCUUAAGCGGGCAGUGCCUAAGAUUUGAAAUCUGAAUUGCUAGGUAAUCAGAUGGCUAGUUAAGAUACAAUUUAAAGCCUGGGAGCUGUAUGGGUAGGUUUGGAACUAAACCUAUUACUGGGGUAAUCAGAUCUGCAACUUGCCAAGAUACAUUAAAUAUCAAUUUUACUCUUUCAAUGCCUUAUGACAUCCAAGGAAGGAAACUUCUAAGACUCUUUAGACAUAAGCUAAAUGACCUGACACACCAUUCCCAGAAAUGGGAAACUGCAUCAACAAGUAGCCCUGGAAAUUCCAACCUACUCAGGGAAAGAUGGAAGUGGGACACACACAGAAACUGCUCUCUGCCAAUGAUUGCUGACAGGAGACAUCAGAAUAUGACAGUGCCAUGAAACAAGAAGCACUGCAGAAAUUAUUUUCUUUGUUGUUUUUGAAGUGCUCUCGAUACAAUCAAUCAUAAAAAAAAUCCUAUAUUUUGGGUCAGUAUGGAAAUGGCUAUUUGCAUUUCAAUAUGUUCGACUCAUCCUGCCAAUAAAAACAUGGAACCAAGAAGAAGCGAUCAGCCCGCUGGAGUGGAAAACAGAAGAUGACAUCCUGCAGACCUUUCAGAUAAAACAGCUCCUUACUUGUAACACUUCUGGUGACUUCCCAAUAUUUCUGAAUGAUUGGGUUUUCAAAUGAGAUCAGUCAGCAUGCAAAUAAGGAAACAGGAUCAAGAUGUCUCUCUUAUCUGACUGGAUGGGGAAAUUAUCAAAAGCCUCUUUUUCAUAUCAAAAUUUCCAUCACCAAAGGUCAAGCUUUCAACUCCCAUUAUUCUUGCUAACUGCAUUUCUCUGUGCCUGCCAGCUCAUUCCUGCUGCUGUUUUAGGAGGGAAAAAAAAUGUAACAAAUGACAGCGUUUCCCCCCACAUUUGUCAUACAAGAUGGACAAAUAUUUUCUAAUCUUAUUCUAUUUUUCUCUACAGCCCUGAAAAAUCUGAAGCCAAAACAUUACUUCUAUCCCAAUUAGCUAUUCCCAACUUCAGGUUUUUUUACUGGCUCUUUUCUUAUUUUUCAGCCCACAUACGGACAGGAGUGCUAGUUGUGUUGCCAGAAUGUUUUGUUCUAUGAUUUGGUCAUUUAAAAUAUUUAAGAGUGAUUCUUUAAAAAUAUCUUUCUCAGUGUUGCUUAGCUGGAUUGGUACCUAUACAGAAGCAUAAUGGACAUUCUAGAAAAGCCGAGAGAAAGGGGAAAGAGAGAAAGACAAAGCAUAAUUUCCCCUGAAAAUUCUCAUGUGCUUAUUAUUUUACUAUGCAGACCUUCCCCUGUAACAAAUACUGCCUGAUGUUUGUAGAUUGCUUUCCACAGUGUACUCAGAAUCAGUGUCCCUUGUUCUUUAACUGAAGCCCCACAAUGCCAGCUAGUCUCCUAGUGAAAUAGUUCAAAUGUCUGACAUUGGUCGGAGUUUGCCUCACUAAGGAGUUCACAUUAUUUCCCCCCACGUGCAUUAAAUUGUAUUUUGCCAAGUCAAAUCUCAUUUGUUAUUUUCUUCAGGUCCCUUUAUUAGGGAACUGUUACUGCUAUGCAUAAUACCUUCCAAUCCGUGGGGGGACUGGUCCCUCUUUCCACACAAUGCUCCUUUUUGAGACUUACACUGCACUGAUGUGUGUCACUUUUGUUGUCCUGUAUGUAACUGGAGAUGAAAUUCAAAGGCAUAUCCAGCCCUUGAGAGAGCCUAGAUCCUCCUCUUGGGAGCAAGAAAGGUCAGAAAGAAUGACAAACUCCUUGCUAAAGGGACUGUUACCCAUGAACACGAGUUGGGGACCCAGGCCUUUUCCAAUUUGAGGUGGAUGGGGUUGAGGGAGUUGGGCAAUUUUUCUUGGAAGCAUUGCUUGGCCCAACCUGGAGAGAUCAAAAUCACCUUAGUCUAGGCCAGGGGUCGGCAACCUUUGGCAC